rnacentral:lncRNA from 1 species
UGGAUUUGGUACAAGGUGGUGGUGUGUGUUUCUGUUUUGAUCACGUGCUAUGGGAUAUUCUAUUAGUUUCAUAAGAGUGUUGUGUAAUAUGUUUUCAGAAAAGUUACAAAUUUUAACUAGUUUUUAAAUCAAGAUUAGGUUUCUAAAAGUCAAAUAUUUUAUGUAAUAUUCAUAAAAUGAUUUUUAAAAUGAAAAAUUUAGAACCAAAAAAUAUAAUUUCUGAAAUAAAGCAAAAAUACUGACUGGGCUUAAAUAGCAGUGAGGAUAACUGAGGAAAGAGUAAAGGAACUUGAAAAUAGAUCAACGAGACAAAGUUAACAAGGAUACCCAGGAAUUGAACUCAGCUCUGCACCAAGUGGACCUAAUAGACAUCUACAGAACUCUCCACCCCAAAUCAACAGAAUAUACAUUUUUUUCAGCACCACACCACACCUAUUCCAAAACUGACCACAUACUUGGAAGUAAAGCUCUCCUCAGCAAAUGUAAAAGAACAGAAAUUAUAACAAACUAUCUCUCAGACCACAGUGCAAUCAAACUACAACUCAGGAUUAAGAAUCUCACUCAAAACCGCUCAACUACAUGGAAACUGAACAACCUGCUCCUGAAUGACUACUGGGUACAUAACGAAAUGAAGGCAGAAAUAAAGAUGUUCUUUCAAACCAACAAGAACAAAGACACAACAUACCAGAAUCUCUGGGACACAUUCAAAGCAGUGUGUAGAGGGAAAUUUAUAGCACUAAAUGCCCACAAGAGAAAGCAGGAAAGAUCCAAAAUUGGCACCCUAACGUCACAAUUAAAAGAACCUAGAGAAGCAAGAGCAAACACAUUCAAAAGCUAGCAGAAGGCAAGAAAUAACUAAAAUCAGAACAGA